rnacentral:misc_RNA from 1 species
AAGUCGUAACAAGGUUUCCGUAGGUGACGCGAGGAUGUAAUAGAAUUAGGCUUCGCGGCCAAGUUCUCACCCUUUGUAUGCCGAAACCAUGUUGCUUUGGCAGGCCCCUGCAUUUCUCGGGCCUGCCAGAGGUUAUAAACCCUAGAAUCUCUGCUGUCUGGGUACUAUACAAUAGUUAAAA